rnacentral:rRNA from 1 species
GACGAACGCUGGCGGCGUGCUUAACACAUGCAAGUCGAACGCUGAAGCUCAGCUUGCUGGGUGGAUGAGUGGCGAACGGGUGAGUAACACGUGAGUAACCUGCCCUCUUCUUUGGGAUAACGCCCGGAAACGGGUGCUAAUACUGGAUAUUCACUGAUUCUCGCAUGGGGGUUGGUGGAAAGGUUUUUUCUGGUGGGGUAUGGGCUCGCGGCCUAUCAGCUUGUUGGUGGGGUGAUGGCCUACCAAGGCUUUGACGGGUAGCCGGCCUGAGAGGGUGACCGGUCACAUUGGGACUGAGAUACGGCCCAGACUCCUACGGGAGGCAGCAGUGGGGAAUAUUGCACAAUGGGCGAAAGCCUGAUGCAGCGACGCCGCGUGAGGGAUGGAGGCCUUGGGGUUGUAAACCUCUUUCGCUCAUGGUCAAGCCGCAGCUUUGGGUUGUGGUGAGGGUAGUGGGUAAAGAAGCGCCGGCUAACUACGUG